rnacentral:rRNA from 1 species
UACAGAGGUGGCAAGCGUUGUUCGGAAUUACUGGGCGUAAAGGGCGCGUAGGCGGCACUGUUAGUCAGGCGUGAAAUUCCUGGGCUCAACCUGGGGACUGCGCUUGAUACGGCAGAGCUUGAGGAUGGAAGAGGGUCGCGGAAUUCCCAGUGUAGAGGUGAAGUUCGUAGAUAUUGGGAAGAACACCGGUGGCGAAGGCGGCGACCUGGUCCAUUACUGACGCUGAGGCGCGACAGCGUGGGGAGCAAACAGG